GACGAACGCUGGCGGCACGCUUAACACAUGCAAGUCGAGCGAGAACCAGGGCUUCGGCCCUGGGGACAGCGGCGAACGGGUGAGUAACACGUGGGUAAUCCACCCUCGGCACCGGAAUAGCCCGGGGAAACCCGGAUUAAUGCCGGAUGGCCCGCCGGCCCCGAGGGGCUGGCGGAAAAGGUAGCUUCGGCCUCCGGCCGAGGACGAGCCCGCGACGGAUAAGCUUGUUGGGGGGGUAACGGCCCACCAAGGCUGCGAUCCGUAGCUGGUCUGAGAGGACGAUCAGCCACACUGGGACUGAGACACGGCCCAGACUCCUACGGGAGGCAGCAGUGGGGAAUCUUGCGCAAUGGGCGAAAGCCUGACGCAGCGACGCCGCGUGGGGGAAGAAGGCCUUCGGGUUGUAAACCUCUUUCAGGAGGGACGAAGCCACUCGGGUUAAUAGCCCAGAGGGUGACGGUACCUCCAGAAGAAGCCCCGGCUAACUACGUGCCAGCAGCCGCCGUAAAAC
rnacentral:rRNA from 1 species